rnacentral:rRNA from 1 species
GAGUUUGAUCUUGGCUCAGAUUGAACGCUGGCGGCAUGCCUUACACAUGCAAGUCGAACGGCAGCAUGAUCUAGCUUGCUAGAUUGAUGGCGAGUGGCGAACGGGUGAGUAAUACAUCGGAACGUGCCCUGUAGUGGGGAUAACUAGUCGAAAGAUUAGCUAAUACCGCAUACGACCUGAGGGUGAAAGUGGGGGACCGCAAGGCCUCAUGCUAUAGGAGCGGCCGAUGUCUGAUUAGCUAGUUGGUGGGGUAAAGGCCCGACCAAGGCGACGAUCAGUAGCUGGUCUGAGAGGACGGAUCAGCCACACUGGGACUGAGACACGGCCCAGACUCCUACGGGAGGCAGCAGUGGGGAAUUUUGGACAAU